CUUCACCGACCCCAGCAGCAGCGGGGUCCGGCGGUCCUGGCCGUAGGUGGCGAGCACGGCCUGGGCCUC
rnacentral:antisense_RNA from 1 species